rnacentral:rRNA from 1 species
GAUCCUGGCUCAGGACGAACGCUGGCGGCGUGCUUAACACAUGCAAGUCGAACGGAGAACUUAUUUCGGUAAGUUCUUAGUGGCGAACGGGUGAGUAACGCGUGGGCAACCUGCCCUCCAGUUGGGGACAACAUUCCGAAAGGGAUGCUAAUACCGAAUGUCCUCCCUCCUCCGCAUGGAGGAGGGAGGAAAGAUGGCCUCUGCUUGCAAGCUAUCGCUGGAAGAUGGGCCCGCGUCUGAUUAG